rnacentral:misc_RNA from 1 species
GAUGAAGAACGUAUCGAAAUGCGAUAAGUAAUGCGAAUUGCAGAAUUCCGUGAGUCAUCGAAUCUUUGAACGCACAUUGCGCCCUUUGGCAUUCCGAAGGGCAUGCCUGUUCGAGCGUCAUUUAUCAACCCUCAAGCCCGGCUUGCGGUUGGGUCCCGCCGUGGGCGACCACGGCGGACCCGAAAGGUAAUGGCGGUGCCCGUGGGGCCCUGGACGCAGCGAGCUUCUCGGCACGCGUCCCGGCGGUCCCCGGCGCCGUCUCCACCAAUCCACCACGCAGAUUGACCUCGGAUCAGGUAGGGAUACCCGCUGAACUUAAGCAUAUCAAUAAGCGGAGGA